CCUUCGGGAACUCUGACACAGGUGCUGCAUGGCUGUCGUCAGCUCGUGUCGUGAGAGUGUUGGGUUAACGUCCGUAACGAGCCGCAACCCUUGUCCUUAGUUACCAGCACGUUAUGGUGGGCACUCUAAGGAGACUGCCGGUGACAAACCGGAGGAAGGUGGGGAGUGACGUCAAGUCAUCAUCGGCCCUUACGGCCGUGGGCUACACACGUGCUACAAUGGUCGGUACAAAGGGUUGCCAAGCCGCGAGGUGGAGCUAAUCCCAUAAAACCGAUCGUAGUCCGGAUCGCAGUCUGCAACUCGACUGCGUGAAGUCGGAAUCGCUAGUAAUCGUGAAUCAGAAUGUCACGGUGAAUACGUUCCCGGGCCUU
rnacentral:rRNA from 1 species